CCGCUCGAUGAUGAUGACAUGGUCUCCUACAUCCUCGCACGACUAGACAACGACUACAUCUCGUUUGUCUCGUCCAUCUGCGUCGCAAGGACUGAACCAAUCAACGUAGCUGAACUUUACUCUCAGUUGAUCGGUUUUGGAA
rnacentral:snoRNA from 1 species